AGUACCAACAAAUCGUGGACAUUGGCUUAGUAGUUCAUAUCCAUGAAAAAUGGAUAUGAACUACUAUAUGAUAUGGCGAAUAUCAUAUAUGAAUGGCGAAGCGCCAGUUGGCGCUUCGAAUCAGCCAACUUUUCAAUAACGCUGUAAAUGCAGCCAUGCUCGCUCUCAGGCUUCUCUCUGAUAAUAAACAUAGACACAGGCAACAGGAACAGAAUUUCCGACGCGUUGGAUUUUUGUUCCUUAUUCCCUAUUCCUGACCAAUCACAGAGAGACAGUUUGUGUAUGGAGAGGCUGCGUAUUUUCAUGGACAUUAGAGGUUAUCUUUAUUCGUAAAUAAUUUCAUCUGUGCAAACAUUAUGAGAGAAGUGUAUAACGAAUAUCACGAAUAUUGCCGAAAAAGAACAUUCGAUAGCUCGCAGGAGACAGACGAUAUGAAAAAAGAAAACGAGAAUGAUUUCAUAAAUAUAGAAUAUUAUACGCAGAAUGAAAAAAUAGGCGAUGAACUACUGAUAGAUCUAGUAAGAUCUCGACCACUUCUUUAUGACAAAAGUUUGAAGCAAUAUCGUGAUCCAAACACGAAAGAAAAUGCAUGAACAGAGAUAUUUUCUGUUAUGAAUAUCAACAUUGGAUUGCCAAACACAUUGGGUUCGUCUCCACCAAUGAUUCAGUAAAGAAAGGCAGCAGCGAGAACUAGAAACUAGAAAUGGAGCAGGCAACCUACCAGAAAAAAAUGGUCUCUAUUCGACCACUUAAAUUUUUUGGGGCAAUUCGUCUUUCAGAGAAAGUUAUAAUAGGUUCUUUUUCACUGCAUUAGUGCACUAAUUUUUGAUGAUGCCAACGAAUUUACCAGUUUCUUCUAAUUUCUUGUCUGCAACUGAUUUUAUAUUUUUGUGUAAUGGACACUUUGACUAUUUGACAAAAUGACUAUUUGGCAAAAUAAUCUCAUCACAUUUUUCAAUAUUUCAUUUUAUCUAUAUCUAUACUGUAAUUAUCAUG